rnacentral:rRNA from 1 species
GACGAACGCUGGCGGCGUGCUUAACACAUGCAAGUCGAACGGAAAGGCCCUGCUUUUGUGGGGUGCUCGAGUGGCGAACGGGUGAGUAACACGUGAGUAACCUGCCCUUGACUUUGGGAUAACUUCAGGAAACUGGGGCUAAUACCGGAUAGGAGCUCCUGCUGCAUGGUGGGGGUUGGAAAGUUUCGGCGGUUGGGGAUGGACUCGCGGCUUAUGAGCUUGUUGGUGGGGUAGUGGCUUACCAAGGCUUUGACGGGUAGCCGGCCUGGGAGGGUGACCGGCCACAUUGGGACUGAGAUACGGCCCAGACUCCUACGGUAGGCAGCAGUGGGGAAUAUUGCACAAUGGGCGGAAGCCUGAUGCAGCAACGCCGCGUGCGGGAUGACGUCCUUCGGGUUGUAAACCGCUUUCGCCUGUGACGAAGCGUGAGUGACGGUAAUGGGUAAAGAAGCACCGGCUAACUACGUG